rnacentral:sRNA from 1 species
GCUGGGCAUGGUGGCGCACACCUGUAAUCCCAGAGGCCCAGGAGGCUGAGACAGGAGGAUUGCUAGUUCAAAGCUACUCAGCAAGACCCUGUCUCUA